AUGAACGCUCGCAGCGUGCCUAAUACAUGCAAGUCGAGCGAACAGACGAGGAGCUUGCUCCUCUGACGUUAGCGGCGGACGGGUGAGUAACACGUGGAUAACCUACCUAUAAGACUGGGAUAACUUCGGGAAACCGGAGCUAAUACCGGAUAAUAUAUUGAACCGCAUGGUUCAAUAGUGAAAGACGGUUUUGCUGUCACUUAUAGAUGGAUCCGCGCCGCAUUAGCUAGUUGGUAAGGUAACGGCUUACCAAGGCAACGAUGCGUAGCCGACCUGAGAGGGUGAUCGGCCACACUGGAACUGAGACACGGUCCAGACUCCUACGGGAGGCAGCAGUAGGGAAUCUUCCGCAAUGGGCGAAAGCUUGACGGAGCAACGCCGCGUGAGUGAUGAAGGUCUUCGGAUCGUAAAACUCUGUUAUUAGGGAAGAACAAAUGUGUAAGUAACUAUGCACGUCUUGACGGUACCUAAUCAGAAAGCCACGGCUAACUACGUG
rnacentral:rRNA from 1 species